rnacentral:rRNA from 1 species
CAAGCGUUGUUCGGAUUUACUGGGCGUAGAGGGCGCGUAGGCGGUCAGCACAAGUCAGUUGUGAAAUCUCCGGGCUUAACUCGGAAAGGUCAACUGAUACUGUGCGACUAGAGUGCAGAAGGGGCAACUGGAAUUCUCGGUGUAGCGGUGAAAUGCGUAGAUAUCGAGAGGAACACCUGCGGCGAAGGCGGCCCACUGGAUCGGUACUGACGCUGAGGUGCGAAAGCGUGGGGAGCAAACAGG